rnacentral:rRNA from 1 species
CACGUAGGGUGCGAGCGUUGUCCGGAAUUAUUGGGCGUAAAGAGCUCGUAGGCGGUGUGUCGCGUCGGCCGUGAAAACCUGCAGCUUAACUGUGGGCUUGCGGUCGAUACGGGCAUCACUGGAGUUCGGCAGGGGAGAUUGGAAUUCCUGGUGUAGCGGUGAAAUGCGCAGAUAUCAGGAGGAACACCGGUGCGAAGGCGGGUCUCUGGGACGGUACUGACGCUGAGACGCGAAAGCGUGGGAGCGAACAGG